CUAUUGCAACACUAUUUACUAUUUAUCAUCUGCCUUCAGAAUGUUGGUGACAGGCCUCGUUUUCAGGUAUCAGAGCCGUUCAGGCGACGUGGUGGUUAUUUUUCAGGAAGGGGUGGCCAUAAAUCAAUAUAUUGGAGCCACAAGAUUUGAAACCAAAGUGGGAGCUGUCUACAUUGGAAGUCGGAAAAUUGGAAAAACGUCAGCUAGACAUAUUCAACUGAACAGUUUUGUUGUAGCCCAUCUGCCUCAAGGCUCAGCAUGGUGCACAUUCUGAGAGGCUGUUCUGCUCACCAUGGUUGUACAGAGUGGUGAUUUGAGUCACUUUAGCCUUUCUGUCAGCUUGAACCAGUUUGGCCAUUCUCCUCUGACCUCUCUCAUCCCCAAGGCUGCAUACAUGGGGCUCAUUUACAUUCAUGGUUAUCCAGAUAAUGAAGCUUUCAAUCCAGGAGAUCCUGCGGUGAGAACAAUGAACCCAAUUACCUCCCGCCGCCUGCGAGAUGGGAUGGCACACUCCGAGACAGAUGGGAGAGACGGAGCUUGCCCGGCAAACCAAUCACAUUCAUCUCACGCUUGCCCCAGCUCCUGGCCAAACCCUCAGCCCCACCAUGUCACACAUCAUAGCCACUGCAUUCACAUAUACAAACCAGGAGAAGGUGUUGUCAUAUAACAAUGAGUUUCAACAGGGAAGUGGAGUCAAAAUGUGAAUUCCUUUUGAUUUAAUUUAUUGAAAUAGUAUGCAGGCUACUUAGAUAAAUAUUGACCACCUACUUUGUCAAUGAUGUUAGCUUUGGAAGUUUCUAUUCUAUUCAGUGCAUUCAUAGAUAUUUCAGAAUAUUCUGAGAAUUUAAAACAUCAAACUAAUCCUACCUACAAGAUUAAUCAUGACUUUAGUAUGAAAUGAAAGGGUCCUAUAUUCACUCCUUGUCCUGUUACUGUUUUGUUAUCUGAUUGUGCCCACCUGUUUCGUGUUUGUACUUGAUUAGUUUGUACCUAUUUAUGCCCUGCUGUUUCUUUUGUAUUGUGUAUUAUUUUUACUUUACAAAGCCUUGUUUUUCGAGUUCUGUGUUUUAGGGUGUACUCAUACUAGGUGAUCUGUACCGUGUCUCAGCACAUUUGACCCUAAAGUCCAGUUAAUUUGACUAGUAUGAUUGCUCUGUACCUUGCCCAGGUAUGAUGCACUGAACCGUGCCCAGACUCAUUUGAAGAGGUGGGGUCAGGCACGGUUCAAUUGGACAAAGGCAUGGUACGCAUCUAGAGUGAUUGCUAACCAUGGCCAAUCACUGAACUUGAAACAUGACGUCAAUGAUGUCCAGUUCUCACAUUUAUGUUAACAUUCAUUUAUUUAUCAGAUGCUUUUAUCCAAAGCAACUUACAAAUGAGGAAAUACAAGCAAAGCAAUAUAUUAAGCGGAGAGCAAUACAAGUACUGUAGUGCCACCAUGCAAGAUUUUUAUAUAGUUCUAGAGAAGCACAGUGCACAGAGUAGAGAUGUAAGAGCCAGAGUAAGUGCAGAAAGUUAUUUUUUUUUAACUAUAUAGCAAGAGGGGAAAGUUAGGGUUUAGUCAAAUUUUCCCGGAAGAGGUGAUUCAUUUUUUUGAAGAUAGUGACAGAUUCUGCUGUCCAGAUUGAGGUUGUUGAAAUGUGGUCUGUAAAGGUCAAGUUGUCUUCAAAAGUCACCCCAAGGUUUCUUGCUGUCCUGGUUGGCUUGAGUGUGGUUGAGAAAUCUUCAAAAAUCUUCUGAUACGUGCAGCCCAAUUAGGUGAAAAUCGCUGUACUACAAAAGUGCUAAAUCUAUUAGGCAAUCUACAUUUACAUCUACGGGGCAGGAAUGAUGAUGGACUGCUUGAAGCACAUAGGCAUUACUGAUUGUUCCAGGGAGAGGUUGAAUAUCUUUGUGAACAUCAGUGCUAGCUGGUCAGCACAGGCUCUGUGGACUCAACCUGUGAUGCUGUCUGGUCCUGCUGCCUUCCUAUUGUUCACUCUCCUAAAAGCCAUCCUCAAAUCAUGCUCAAAGAUGAUGAAAGUAUCUUCCAUUAUAGCAUUCUUCACCGCUCUGCACACGUUAUAGGAUGAAGCCUUGUAUUCGUCCAUGUUCCUGACAUUGAGUCUUGUGUUAUAGGCCGUGGUGCGAGAUCUCAGAGCAUCACGGAUGUUUUUAUCCACCCACGGUUUCUGGUUGGGAAAUGUUUUGACUGUUUUUUUCUGGACUGUAUCAACCGUUAGCUUCCUGAUAAAUCCCACAGCUGCUUCCAUAAACACGUUGAUGUCGUCAGAGCUGCACCAGAACAUGUCCCGGUCCCAACAUGUCCACCUCCCCUUAACUUCCCUGACACUGUUGUUCUGUCCACGCGGUGAAUCGAGAAGAACUCGGCCGGCUGGAUGGCGUGGACUGGAUCCGCUGGAUUCAGCCAUGUCUCGGUGAAGCAGAGGAGGUUGCAGUCCCGAAUGUCCCCCUGAAACUUGAUCCUGGCCCUGAGGUCAUUCAGAUUGUUCUCCAGUGACUGAACAUUAGCUAGCAGGAUCCUAUACAGGGGAGCGCAGUGUGUGUGAGACCAAGGCCUGUUCCUGAUUCCAGCUCAUUUCCCACGAGGCCACCGGUACGGGUUGCGUCCUUUGUUCCUUCUCAGGAUCUUACUCGGCCAGGAUGAAUCCGGUACUAAAAGCGAUGACUGGUGAGUGUUUUGUACACCAGUAGAAAUAAGAGUACUUCUGUCAUAGCUAAUAGUAGCCAUGGUAAAAAGGCCAUUUUGGUUUUUCAAAACGAAAAAACUGCAUCAUAAUGACGUAAGCAUGCCCAGGCCUGGAAUGUUAAGUACAAUGUGAGUGCAGGCCAGUGGAGGAGUGGGGAGGGGGGAUAAUUGUGCUUGGGCAACCAGGCCUAGUGUGAGUAUGCCCUUACUGUAAUUCCUGAUUUUGACCCUUUCCUCAUUUUUGAAUAUGGAUUCACCUGCAUAUGUUUGCCCCUCUCUAUGGACUGUGAUUAGUAUUGUUGGAUUUGCCUAAUAAUUAUCAAGCCAAAUACCUGCACUUGCAUCCUGUCUCUACUUUUUCCCACAGACUUUGCAGCUGUGUAGCAUUUUUGUGUAUGUAUAUACAAUAUAACAAGUUCUAUGGAUUCCUCCUACCUCCCAAGAGCAUGCCAAUAAUUGGAUUAUUGAUUUUAAAUCUCUACCUCGCUCCCAGUGUUCUUAGUAUAGGUUUUGGAUCCACCUCCAACAGUAGUGUUGUGCAUGCAUGAUUAGCUAUACAGAUAUAUACAUAUUAUAAUGGUAUAUAUAGAAAUGUAUCCAAUUUGUAACCAUGACUGUUAAGGAGCUGUCCCACCCUGACUGUUCGCUGUGAGAAGCAGACCUGUUGUUAGAAAGCGGCUCUCCUAUCCUGCUUGCUCCCUCACCACUUUAUUCCUCUGCUGAUGAAUGCUCACUGGAACAAGGAACAAAUAUAGAGGAGAGAAGCAAAAAAAAAAAGGGGCUCGAACAGCAGUUUACUGGCAGCGCUGUGAGGCAGGUGAGGCUCAGCAGAGAUGUGACCAGCCCGAGGAUUAAUGGUCUCUGGGGAAGCCGAGCUGACAAAAGAAAGGCUAGCAAUGAGACACGCCAAUGCUACGGGAUGUACUGCAUGAACUCAACCAGAUUUGAUGGAUGGCCCGCAGCUGUUUGUAGCUGUGUCACUCUGCUGAACAUUAUGCCUCUCUCCUUCGCUCCCUCUCUCAGUAAUGACAUGGGGGCCGGAAUCCCUGAGCCUCCUGUGGCCGCACAGCUGCACAUCACUUCUUUGUGGGCUUCUGUGGAUCUACCGAGCUCAACAUUUUCCAGCCCAAACGAACCUCUGAAUACGGCGCGUGGGUGCUAGCAUGUUGGCUAAACCCACUGAAAGCACACGCCGCCAAUUUAAUCCCUCACAACAACUGGCGCACUAUAAUAGGGCCACCAGGGACCAGGAGCAGCGAAGUCCUUCGGCUGACAGGGGGCGAUGCAUAGCGGGAAAAAGCAUGACCCGGAAGCUGCCCUCCCCUUCCACUGGCUUUAAUUUCAAGUUCAGUCAAACGCUUGCAUAUCCCUGUUUGAUACUUUCCAAACCAAUUUGUCUUAAGCGACUAAAUCCUUCUCUAGAGCUGUUGCUUUUCUCUUUCUCCCAUGAUUCACAUGCAUAGCCCCUGGUUUAGCUUGGCCUUUUUCAACUUUUUUCAUGAAGUAAAAGUCAGAUUGUAGAAAUAUCCAGGCAGACUUAGGCAAUUGCCUUUGUUAGUCUAACUAAUCAUGCAAGCCAUGUUUCACAGCUCUGAUAAGCAGAGUGCCUCCAGAAAGGUUUGGACCAAUGGCGCGCAUGCAUUCACUAAGCUAAUUUGCAGACUGGCAAGGCUUUCACACCAUUUGGAGAUGCACUUUAGAUUUCACCAGGGAUGUGAGACUCUGGUUUAUGGACUGCCAUAGCCUAAUAUAUUGCGUUUUGCACACUGGCUUGAAUUGGCCUGCAUUAGCAUUUGAAACGGUUUAAUCUCUACUCUUUUAAAUUGAGUUAUUUGUCUCAAGUUUGCUUCAAAGUGUGACCAUACACACAUUAUCCAUGUGAUGUGUGAUUUUUGUUUUGAAUGAAUGAAUUUUUUUUUUUUAAAAAACAAAAAAAAUACACUGGCAUCAGAGGGAAGCAAAAAUGUUUUUUUAAUUCAUUUGAGCUGUCAAACGUUUACCCACAACUGUACAUGCUCUCAUCACACGGUACAAAUCUUUUUUCUCUUAUAUAUUUAUAUCCCCAAACAAGUUAGCCAAAAUUAUUAUUGCACCUGUCCUAAAUGCCGCAGCUGAGACUGAGCUCCUCCAGAUGCUCCUAAAUGCUUUCCCUUGGUACAGUGCGCUCUCCAUGUUAACACAAGACCCAUAAGUGGCUCUGCGCCGGUGCCAACGUAAGGCUGGCGUGCACCCGUGCCAAAACGCUGGGUUGUCACAAUCCUGGCAAGCCUAAUCCAGCUGGUUCUCUCUGGAGCAUGCCAGUGCCUCCUGUUUCCAAACACGCCAGUGCUCAGUGCGAGGUGCUCGAGAACACAUGGCACUGCUACUGCCAGCCUUCAAACUGCACCUGCUGAUCCUUAGCCAAAUGUGCUGCUUCAGAAGAGCUCACAUUCAAGAGGAACACCAGUGUGUGGUUUUUGCUCAUGGGUGAUCACAGGUUUCAUAGCUUUCAUGCAUCACAUCCAUUUUGUCAACAGCCGGCAUAAAGAUUCUAGUCUAGCAUGAGUCCCAAUUAAAUCUGAACUUUAAUAUUAUUAUAAAUAUCAUGUGCUAAAAGUAUUCUUGUAAAUUUGGAUUUCUAGCUCCAAAUUGGACUAUAUAUCUCUUUAAGUCAUAACUACCAGAGCGUUGGUGAACAUUUCAAUACUUGCGAUUUGUUUCUCUUUGCUUCCUUUCAACAUAGAUGGUUCCAGUGAUCAAUAAUGCUUCAUUCAAUCAUACAUUCAUUCUUCAUGGCAGCGCUUUAUCAUGGUCAGGGACACAAGGCAGUACACCAUGGAUGGGAUGCCAGAGUACCAUGCACACACCUUCACAAGUAGGGGAAAUUUAGCAUAGACAAUCUAUCUACUGGCAUGUCUCUGGGAGGAGGAAGGAAACUGGAGUAUCAGGAGGAAAACCACAAGGCAACAACAACUCCAUAGGUAGUGAGCGUCAAUACUACCUGCUGCACCAACAUGCCAACCUGGGAUAGGAUAAUAAACAGAUCAGGCUGGAAAAGUUGUUAACAUAUUUAAAAUGAAUUGCUAAAUACCAUGGCAGCAUACAAUAAUGGUAAAUGUCCAUCUCAGAACAGAAUCUCUGAGCUCAUGUAUGCAGAAGAGGCCAGAUAGUGCUUUCCUCUGAGUGUGUUCAGUUGCUCUGUGAUCUAGCAUGAGCACUAGUUUGAAAAUACGCCAUGGUUUCACAUUGGAGGAGGCACAUGGUAGUUGUGUGAUAGGAAUGAGCUAGCUUGUGGGUGAGAAUUAGCAAAUGACCAAACUGGGAGAAAAUAGGGUUUUAAAGAAAGUCGCUUUGCUCAGGCUGCAAAUGGUGGAUUUGUGAAAGAUGUCAGGGAGAGAGAGUGAAGAUGGGGAAGUAUGCAGGAUCUUAUAGUGUGAGGCUGAUUUUUCCCUGCAGCUACAGUCGCCCUUUAGCCACGGCCGGUUGUGCACAGCAGUGUGGCAGGAGAUAAAUUCAGGAGCAAGUGCUGAUGGCAGAUCACACAUGGCUGAAGGAUGUUCCGGUGACUCGCCACCACAGAUGCAUUUGCAGCAGAGCUAAUAUAUUGUGAUAUGUGAUUAUUUCCUUUUCACGUCUCAUUCGUGUCACCUGCAUUUGGCUGAGCAAAGUGAAACCAUGAGGCUUUAUCAUUUCUAAACCAACAGGAAAAUAAACAGGAUUUCUGAUUCAGGAGGACCUGUCGAGGGGCAAGUGUUUAAGGACAUUCAUUAUUCAACAAAUAAAUGGGCUUCAUGCAGAAGAGCAGGUUGUUUUAUCAGUAUAUUUAGAGGAAAGAUGUGCUUGUAAUUCCUUGGCCAUGAGACAUGCCUCGAAGAAGUCAUGCACCUGCCUGGUGUGUCAAGUAGUUAUCAGCAGGGAGGGAAGGGAUAAUGAUCAUCAGCAAGCGCCUUGUUUACUCUUCUUUAAAUGAAUUUGAGGAUCUUGUUUUGCCAGAUUAAUAAUGCAGAUUGUACACGAUGGUGGCUAAGAAUAGCUGUGGAAAAGACAGCGGGGGAGAAUACAGCAGCAGCAGGGACUGACAUGACAUUUACAGGCAUGCUGGGCCGUUAUGACUCUGCUGGGAUUAUAUAUCAAGUACAGUCCCAUCAACAAUGCCUUUCAAAAAAUGACAUUACAAUUCUUGCUAAAGAAACAAGCUGAUUUUUUAGAUUGCUUCCAAUCUGUUUUUGAGCUCCACGAUAUAGUUUAGAUUAAAUUAAAUCAGUUUUGGUCCUGUUCAUUCCCACCUUCACUGUAGCUUCAAGGUCUUGCACAUUCGAAGCGAAUCCCAGUUUUCAGGAUAUUAGCAGUAGCAGUCAUGUCGCUCUCCCUCAAGCAUAUUUCACUGCUCCCUUAUUCCCUCACAAUAUUAGUGGAAGGCAGAUGUCCAUAGCCAGGUCCAAGUUUUUUGUCCAUAAAACAGCUUUAAAGAGAUUCUAGCCAUUUUUUCUAAAUCUCAGGCGACAUAAAUAGAACAUGGGACUAUUGAACAGUGUGUGUGUGUGUGUGUGUGAGAGAGAGAGAGAGAGAGAGACUAACACCACCUCUGAAAACUUCACGCAUGGGGGGAAAAAUCAAUACUUUUCAAAUCUUUUUGAUUCAUUAUAUGAUGUUGUUAUGUCAUCUAUCUGGACACUGCGAGGCCCACAAAUGUACUCAACCUGGAAGCCCUGAAGAAAUAGACUAUACUGGAUAUAUAGAGCAGAUUUAACAAAGAGAGCUGAUACAAUUCUUGUAUAGAGAUGGAUGAAAGUCAGCAUAUAAUGAAUAAUGAAAGUCAGCAUUUAAAAGGUCUAUGUUCACUGGCACUGAAAUUUCACCUUGCGUCACGCAAAUAUUGCCACACAAACUACAUAGCUAACUACAGAAUAUCUGCAAAACCAUCAAAUGCAACCCGGCUAAUAAUAAAAAUUAAUUUUAAUGAAAAUCAUUUUUCUAGCACCUUUCUCAAACCUUUGGUCGGUUUAUGCAUCACAUUGAGCCUUCAAGGCUAGGAUGAAUCUGCCCCUCACGCUUAAGUCUAGAUGCUUUAGUAUAACCAGCAACCAGUGGACAAAUUGGAGAGAUGACCAAAAACAUUCAAACAAUGAAAUAGAAGAUAGAUGCAUAAACAAACAUAAAACAACAACUCCGGUGAGACUCUGCAGCAAAAUAGAUGUGUAGAGCAUACUCUCAACAAGAAAUGGAAUGGAAAAUGUAUAGUAUUAAAGAAAAUUAUAUUUAUAAAUUUAUAAAGGGAAAUUAUUGUGCAAUCAGUUGCUGCUACCUUGACUAGUAUGAGAAUGAGCGAUCUCUGCCAUACUGUAUAUUUACAGGCAAAACACUUGGUUCCCUGCUAUUUGGAUACAUCACUUGUAUCACUUGUGCAUGCCGAGUAUCACCAGCUGGUUCAAGAGCUGGACCCAAAAACAUGAAGAAUAUUUCAUCAAGGUGGGGGAACUGAAGCAUCGUCCCUCAGUCCCACUGCUUCACUGCAAAAUACGACAUCCUUGCAAGUGAACAUUUCUUGAAUAUAAUACAAAUUUAUCUCAUAUUUCCUAUUACAAGACUAAAACAAACCAAAUAUAAGAUGACUAAAAUCUAGUUCUAGACAUUUUUACUAAUUUCAAGCUUGAUAGAGUCUUGUUCUAUUGGCAGUUAGAAGGUAUCAGGUAUUUAUUUCAAGAAAACAGCAAAAUAAUCUGCCAAUAGAACAAGAUGGUGUAAAGCUUGAAAAAAGUCUAGGCUUAAUAAUGUUAUAUUUGGUACAUUGGAAUCUUGUAAUAGGAAAUCUGCCAUAAAUCUGACAAGAUUCAAGAUAUUUUCCCUUAAUAAGAUGCCAGUUUUUGCAGUGUUGUCAUCAUAUCACCUCCCAUCACAUCACCUCUCACCACCAGUGGUCACUUCACUUCCUGUUACUGUAUAUCAUCAAUUCUUAUUGAAAAUGAAUGGCUUCCAUUUUCUUGUGUUGUGUCCCAGCUGUGAGACUAAAUGCUGUGCUGUUUUUAAUCACCAAACCUUGCCUUGUCUUUAUAAUACAAGCAAAAUUUGGUGCAAGCAAGAGUAAUUUGUAAGAACAACUGCAACCGGUUCCUGGUUUGAUUCUUAACUUGGGAUUCUGUCUGUUGGGAUUUUCUUUCCGAGUUCUCUCUGAUACAUUUACAUGGACAGCAGUAAUCUAAUUAUUGACCUUAUUCUGAAUAAGACAGUAUUCUGAUUAAGAUGUUUACAUGAGUUGCAUUUAGAAUACUCCUUUCAUGUUCUUGUUUUACAUGUUAUAGAACGUAGUUCGAUUAAUGGCACACGUCAUUACGUCACCGCGCCACGCCGUCCGGCGUUCCCUCCAGAAUUUCACGUAUCAACAUACAGUUCGUCUUCGUUAUGGUACCGUAUACAGUUUCGGGUGUUUUUAUUUUUAAUUUUACGAAGGCUUCAAGUGCGGUUAAUUAUUUGUCAUGCUGUACGUGCAAAUAGACGACUGCUUGAAACUGUUGGCUGCAUCCGAAACCACAUACUUACCGACUAUAUAGUAGCUAAGAUACAUGUAUUUCGCCUACUAUAGGUAAGUAUGUAAGUAUGCGGUUUUGGACGUGCUCUCUUGUUUGCUGUCAAACGGUUGAGCACUGCCGUGUGUGUACGUGUCCUGUCGCAAAAUGCGGUGAAAACUCCCACACGACGUUAAUAGUGUGAUUAAGGUGUGUACAUGUCUGUAAUGCACGUCGAUAAUGCAACUAAAACAGGAGUACUCCACAUGUCUUAAUUCCAUUUGUGUUUACUUCGAGUAUGACUUUAAUCGGAUUAAGGUCAUAAAAAAUUGCUGUUUACAUGCUAGUUUUAUAUUCAGAGUAUCGUCUUAAUCGGGUUAAUAUCAGAUUAUUGUUGUCCAUGUAAACGUACUGAAUGUGUCUGUGUGAGUUUCCUCCGGGUUCUCCAGUGUCCUCCCACCUCCCAAAAAUCAAGCGAGUAGGUGGCUUGGUUACAGUAAUUUGCACCUAGGUGUGAAUGAGUGUGUGAAUGUGUAUGUGCAUGAAACCCUGUCAUGUAUUCUUGGUCAGGAAUUCUAGUUAAAGCUGGAUAGUGCAUUUAAAAAAAAUAUGGAUCACACAUUGUUGUGUAGCUGAAAAAAACAAACAAAAAAAUUGAGUCAUUGAGUCAAUACGUAGACGAAUGCAUAAUAAAGUAAUGGCCACAUAUGAAUUAGGACUAAAUGCGUCACUUAGUAUUUUCUAAUAAACAAAGAAAAGCAAUGCAUGUAAACUAAAAUCUUAAUACUCCUCACAGUUCCACUACAGUUAUUUGCUUGUUUUAAGGUUUUUAAUCCAUGCAGAAGACUGGUACAUCAGCAACCUAGUUACCGCUGAGAGGAAGUGGGAACAAGCACCGCUCUGUGUAUUUGCAUCAAUCUGCAUCAAUGUAGAGCUUUUUGAGAAAAUGAAGAUGCAGAAGAACAAUCACUCAGUGCUUGAUUAGAUUGUGUUUUUGCUGUACAUUUAUAAAAGAGAGGAUUUGUGUAAUUGCAUGCCUCACAAAUAUAUCCUUGAGAAAAUUGGCAUCUGAGGAGUUCUGACUCUUUGAGCGAGAAAAGUCACUCGCUCAGUAGUCCGCUUGUGCAGUAUGCACACAGUAUAUAUAAAAUAAGAAUACAUGCAUGUUUUUCCACUACUUCCUUCUCAUUUUCCCUCUUUUUUUAAACAACAUAAUAUUAAAAAACCCUUUAACAAGCUAUUUUACCGUCUGUGACUGAAUGUUGAUUGCUUUUUACAGUCAGUGUAUAGAGAAAAGAAUUAAUUAGCAAUUUUCAGUUCUUACAUUAAUGUACUAAGCAGUGUACUAGUACACACCACACUACCAUUGCAUAUAAAACACAACCACACCUCAGGACCCCCUUUUAAAAAAAUAAUAAUAAUCACGGCCUUGUAUCGUAAUUGCAUGUGUGUAAUAAUUCCUCUUGCUCAUCACGUCGGUCCUCCUCACACUCUCUGUUGGCUUUUCAUGAUAGUGCAUCUCUGUCAUUAGUCGGGAGUUCACUUGGAGGAAGCUAACCUGGAGAGAAAAGCCACUCUUCUCUGAUCUCGCCAAUGAGCUUGUCCUGCAUCAAAGUAUGCUUUGAAGUCCAGGUACUUGUAAAAGAUUGGUUCAGGUUUCAGGUCAGGGUUCCAGUAGCCGAAGGUGGGGCAUGAGGGGAUUUGAAGCCUUCGGCUGCAUUUGUGUUCAUAGCCUUCCCUUCAUGUUUAUUAGGAGGAAAGCAAUCUGUGAAUCUGCAGCAGGUCAGCUUUCUGCCUUACAUUCUUUUCCAUACCCUUCAUGUACUCUUGUACCCUUGGCAAAGAUCAUCCUUCAGAAGUGAAGCUAUAAUUUAGCACAUAUAGUAAGUAGAGUAGUAAGGAAUAACACACAAUGGACUGUGCUGCUAUGAAAGUAAUAUACACUGUGGUGGUGUGAUAUCCUGAAGUGUAUUAGUUUCGUAUAACAGCGUCGACCAAAGUCUGUUAUUUCACUUAUUCCACAGAGUGCCAACGACUACAAUGUUUGUUUAAUUUAUUAAUGAACGACAUGUGCUUUUUUAAACAAACUAAUGCCAAUAGCAAGCUGUCACAAUGCAAAACUGCCUUCAUAAAUAAGUGAAUGUAACAGUGGAUAACUUACAGUGAUGGGUUUAAGUCUUAUUCUCUGUGUCAAAGUUCAGAUCUGUUAGAAAUGUACAUCAACUUCUUAAAGAUGUCACUUAUGACUUUUCAAAUAUACAUUAUAUGGCCAAAAGUACGUGGACACCUGACCAUCACACCCAUAUGUGGGUCUUCCCCAAACGAUUGCCACAAACAAAGUUCCCAUCACUUGAACUAAGAGGCCCAAAUCUGUUCCAGCAUGACAAUGGCCCUGCGCACAAAGCAAGAUCCACAAAGACUUAGUUUGCCAAAUUUGAAGUGGAAGAACUUGAGUGGCCUGAACACAUUUGUGAUGAAUUCGACCACUGACCACAUGCCAGGUCCUUCCCAGAAGAAUGUUAUUAUAACAGAAAAAGUGUGUCUGUGAUGGUCAGGUGUCCACAUAUUUUUGGCUAUAUAGUGUAUGAGCAGAUCUACAGGUAUGAGUAACAUUCUCAAAUGCUGGAUGUUCCUUCAUGUGCCAUAGCAAAAGGUUACGCUGUCACUUUUUCCAGCUGUCCAUACGAGCUUGCCCAUUACUUCCACGCUCGUUUAGCCAGCAGGGGAAUCACUGAGCAGCCUCGCCCACUGCCAUCAGCACAAGUAAGCACUGUUUAGAGCCGCUUUGCUGUGUCUCGUAGAGCAGCAUGACUUUAGCAUAAUGAUGGCCCCCAAGCAGGCCUGCAUUCUUGCUCCAAGGUCUAACGGCUGUCUGCCGCUGGGCUAUUUUUGGAUGUGUGGCAGGCAUCAUAAAUAAUGGAGCUGUAAACGAUCCGUGGCAGGUCUUUGCAGACAGAUGGACGAAGUUGAGGAAUGAGGUGAGCAAAAGAGGAAGAAAGUGGAUAGGAUUUAAAGGGGAAAGACUUUUUUGUAUGGCAUGAAGACAAAAAGGGCCAACUUUCAAAUUCCAGGAUGUUCAUAACACAGGUUUAUAAUACUGACUUCACAAAGAGUUCAUAGCCUUGAGUAAAGCCAUGAAGACACAGAUAAAGCAGGAGGAAGGGGUCCAAUUUUCUUUUGUAUCUUAGGCCAUAUUUAUAAUUUAUUCACUUUUCUCUACUCCAUUCAAAAACCCAUUCGUCUCAUCACACUACCAAGUGUCUCAGGCAAAAAAUUUAAAAAACAACAACAAACAGUUAUUUUAGGCUUAUCAAGUGCAUGCUUUAUCACAGUCAUUUAAUUUCAUAUAUUAUUAUUAUUAUUAUUAUUAUUAUUAUUAUUAUUAAUAAUAACAACUUAAUUGGAAGCAGGUGAAAUGAUGUUAAAUUUCUGUCCUAUAUCAUGAUUUAUGUAUGUGCAAUGUAUAUUUUUAUAUAUUUAUUUAUUUCUAAAUACAUUAAUACAUUAAAUAUUUAUUAAAGUGUUUAUAUGCAAAUGAUAAUCUUUACAAAAAAUAAAGUAUGUAUUGUUUUAUUUAAUCAUUUAUUUAAUUCAAUUUAUACAUUUAAUUAAUAAAUUGAAUUCUAUCUAUCUAGCUAGUUUAUUUUCCUGGAAGUAUCUUAGCAAACUUAUAUAUCAUGAGUCAUAUCCUGUGUCAUGGAAGUGUCUUCUCCAAAGCUGCGUUCCUAUCACACACAUAUGAAGACACCAAUAAAGCAGGAUAUAAAUGGGUAACACUUCUCAUGCCAUAUUCAUAAUUCAUUCACUUUUCUCCGGUCUAUCCUAAAAUCCAUUAGUUUCAUCACACUUUACAGAGUGUCUUAGGCAAAAAAGAAAAAACGCAGCCAUUUUAGAUUCUUUUAAACACCUCACACUUUUUAUUCACCUGAUGUUUUAGAUCUUUGAACCAUGGGGAAUUGGAGUGUGCUGAAUUAUAGGCUUAAAAAAAAAGACACACAAAAGAAAGUGCAAGAAAAAAGAAGCUUCUUUGUAGAUAUUUAGCUCUCUCUCUCUCUCUCUCUCUCUCUCUCUCUCUCUCUCUCUCUCUCUCUGCCUCUUUCUUUGUCUCUCUUUUCUAUUAUACUGUACCUAAUCACCAUGUGCAUAUUUAUAUUAGAGGCUGCAGUACAGUUUGUAUAAAAAGAUAUGUAUGUAUGUACCUAUGAUUUGCCCCAGAUAGAUGUAAUUACUCUCUAACCUCAGGGUCAGUGUUUCAUCUCAAGCACAAAUCUCCGAACCAACAAAAAACUGUGUCCAGUUAAUUACACACUGCACUGGAUGGCCGGCCUUUUGAGACCAGUACUUCUCUUUACAAGGUAAUCAAGGUGAAUCGAAUCUCAUUUGGGUGCCGUUACUUUUAGACGUUGGAGAAGGACAACCUCAUCCGAGGCACUCGAUACUAGAACCAACUGGAAGCGUAGUGUAAAUCCAAGCCCCGAGCUUCCUACUCGCAAUCAGAAUGCUGAUUUUGUUUGGUGGCCUUGGAUUUUACAUGUAAUAUUCAUCCGUUUGAUUUAGCACACUUGUGAUUAAAGAUCCUUGAGAUAUUUGAAAGUGAGCGCAGUGUGUGGGAAGGCUGCAAUAAGCCACUCAGAUGGUGCUGGAGCUGUGCAGAAUGUUUCGGAGGCUGCUGUUUCGCUUGCUGCGUCUCAGUGCGGCUCUGCGGCUCAGCAGCUCUAAUCUCCUCCCAUCUGCUGAUGGAGCUGUUCGCCCUGCACGGAGCCCAGACCCUGCUCCACCCCAUCUGGGCUGCUCCCACCCACUGUCUGUAUGUCUGUCUGUGUGUAUGUGUGUGUCUGUUAAAAAAAUAAAUAAAACGAGGUAAUACUUAAUCAUGCUUAGUUCAUGCUUAGCAGGUUACUCAUUUGAAAUAAGAAGGUGACGUGAAACAGGUGAUGUAAUCGUCUAAUCAUAGGACAUAAGGAAACUCCAAAAAAGGCCUAGUCCUUCACGAGCAAGGAUGGGUCGAGGCUCAACAAUCUGCCAACAGAUGCAUCAGCGAAUAAUCCAACACUUUGAGAACAACAUUCCCAAAAGACAAAUCAGUAGGAUUUUGGGCAUUUCACCUUCUACAGUGUACAAUAUAAUUAAAAGAUUCAAGGAAUCCGGGAAAAUCUCAGUGUGUAAAGGGCAAGGCUGAAAAGCACUUCUGAACGCGCAUGAUCUCCGAUCCCUCAGACGUCACUGUCUUAAAAACCGUCAUGAGUCUGUAAUGGAUAUCCUGACAUGGGCUCGGGAAGCUGUCCUGACAUGGGCCAUCCAAGCUGUUAUCAAUGUCAGGUCCAAAAGCCAGCGUCUGUCAUGGUAUGGGGGUGUGUCAGUGCCCAUUCUUAGCAAACGUAUAUAUUGUGAUAGAUAUCUUAUGUUAUGAAAAUGUCUUUUUUCUAUUCUUUCUAUAUUAUUUUCGAUAACAGCAGCUCUGACAGUAAUGCCGGCUGUAAUUCAAAUCACAGGUUUAUAUUAAUGCACUCUAAUACUUUAUUUUUUGUAUACUAACAGCUCAUCCACAGGGACUUGUGUAGCGUACACCCUACGUAAUCUCAGUCUAACAAUAAAUGGAUUUUAAAAAUGAAUUUUUAUUUAACAAAGAAAAACAUAUUAUCACUGAUGAUGAUGAUGCUUUCUUUAAGAAGACAUAUAUUUAACAUUUAUGCAAGGAGUCUCCGCUAUCAGUGCUUUGUAACGGUCAGUAAGUUUCCCACCACAGGAAAGUCUUCUGGUCUUUGUACUUUCCAGUUUCUCAGUAAUGCUGACGAGCUGCUUUUUUUUGUCUUAUUAAUUUGAAGAGAGAGAAUAAAAUAUAGACUGGUGAGGGAAAAACUAUUUAUAGCUGCUAUAACAUAAGUGACAUAAAUAACAGGAACUAACUUGUCUUGCCAUUCCGCAACAUUAAACAUAAGUAUAAAUGGUUUAAAAAUAUAAUUCAUUAAUUCAUUCAAAUAUUCAAUCAUUGGCUAAUUGCUGUGGUGAAAGAACAGUAAAACACUUUGGAACAUUCUGGUAUAUAUAUAAAAAAAAAAACACUUUGUGGUGGUAACAGUAGCUCAGAUUUUGUGAGUCACAUUAUACCUCCAGAUCAUUUAUUAGUUUCCUGUAACAGUUAUUUUAUUCCUUUCUUCACUGAUAGUAAUAGUAUAAAUAAUAGUAGUAAUAGUGAAACUGACAGACAUGCCAUAGUGUAAGCAUGCUUUACUAUUAUUAUUGUGAUCAAAUCAUUAUUAUUAUAAUUCAUUAUAAUUAGUAUUAUCAGUGGUAUAAACAUUAUUAUUAAUUAAUCCCUUAAUUUUCAUAAUCUAGUUCUGAAAAUGUAGCCUAUGUACUAUGAGAAUUUGUAUAUGUGAACCAUGUCUAUUAUUUUGUUAUAAUCUAUUAUACAUAUACCUGUUGUGUGUGCUUUGUGUUGAAUAUGAGCUCGUGCACACUUAUACAGAAUCGGAAAGUGUGUGUGUGUGUGUGUGUGUGUGUGUGUGUGUGUGUGUGUGUGUGUGUGUGUGUGU